ensembl:lncRNA
CCCCAGCUGAUUCCUUCAGUCUCUCCCCAGGACUCUUCUAUCAAGAUUUAGGCUAAAAGUGUGAACUAUUUUUACCUUCUCUAUAAAAAUGUCAAAAGAAACAAACUCAUUUGGAGAGCUUAGUUUUCUUUACCAUCUUCUGUUCACAAUCUCGUCUCUCCUUCUUGCAUCACACAUGCCCCCAUCGUCUCUCUAAAUAUUUCUGCAAGUGUUCUGCUAUCUCAUGCAUCACCAUAGAUAGCCCUGUUUUGAGUUUCUCUGCACCUUCGCAUUCAUUCACUUUUGCUGUUUUCUCUGUCCCAUCUCUACAUCUUAUGUGGGUCUAUCCCUAUUGAUUUGUCUCUUCCUCAGGUCAGCAGAUACUGUCUCUGGGAUUACUUAUUCUUUGUCUAACCUCUGUCUACUCUGGGCUACCUGUUGGCUGCAGCUUCACGGUGCAUUUUCCUGCCUAAUUCUCUUGUUUUCUGCCCUGGGUAUUUCCUCGCCACCCCAUGAUGUGCAUGUCGCCACUGGUUACAGGCAUGUAAAGGCUAACUGGGCUUUACUUUUAUCUCAAUAUAAUUCUCUUAGAGUGUUAAUUUUCUUCAUUUAAUACUGAUCUCUCUUACAAUAACACUAAACCUCUGUCACCAAAAUCCAUCCUUACCAGCACUCUGCCCUGAACACUACCAGGCAAUCUGAAACUGCGUUUCCCUUCAAUCUCCUAAAAAGGACAGUCUAAAGCUGAGCUUAAUCUGGCUCUGUCUGUACUCCUCACGUGUCCGUUUGUAUUUCUCACUUCCUCUGUCUUUCAACAUUACCUGAUGUUCCUUGAUCUUAGAUUCAAAUGCAUAACAUGUUAAGCAACCGGUUGCCUCUCUGGUUUCAUUCUUUAAUUCAGCUCAGUAGUGGGAAGACCGAUAACUCUUUCUCCAUUUUUUAGAAACUGUCAUUUCUCUUCAUUUCCAUUGACUUCAUUUUAGCUCAGGUCUUAAUUGAUUCUUCUUCCAUUUCAUAUUCUUCAUUAAGUGAUUUUCCCUUUACGGUUUACAUCUCACCAGAUACAGUGAGUAAC